rnacentral:rRNA from 1 species
UACGUAGGGUGCAAGCGUUGUCCGGAAUUGUUGGGCGUAAAGAGCUCGUAGGCGGUUUGUCGCGUCUGCUGUGAAAACUCGGGGCUUAACCCCGGGCCUGCAGUGGGUACGGGCAGACUAGAGUGCGGUAGGGGAGACUGGAAUUCCUGGUGUAGCGGUGAAAUGCGCAGAUAUCAGGAGGAACACCGGUGGCGAAGGCGGGUCUCCGGGCCGUAACUGACGCUGAGGAGCGAAAGCAUGGGGAGCGAACAGG